UGCUUUGUUGUAUAAUACUAUGCAAUGUCUUUUAUGAUAAUUUUGUUAUACAAAAGUACUUUCUCAGUUUGUUUACCAAACACAUGUUUAAGUACCACAGCACUUUAGAAAUAUAGUUAUCAAACAGCAAAUAACUUUUUAUAAAAGCUCUACUUUUAACAGCUCUACUGUCAACAGCUUUUCCAAAUAGGGCCUAAAAGGUGAAUACCAAAGGUAAGGAGAUACAGUCGUUCUAGACCAAAUGCAUCCUCAACUUAGUGGGAAAUUUUAGUUCCCUAAACCAAGGAACAAC
rnacentral:lncRNA from 1 species